rnacentral:lncRNA from 1 species
AAAUCUCAUUAGGAAAUGCUUCUUGAAACGAAGGUUACCGUAUUUGCUGUCUCUCUUAGUAAUCUUGACAGAACAAAUGAGCUAUCAGAAAAUGGAUGAAUGAGUUACCUCUAGAAGCAGAGUUCAGUUGGGAAAAAUGCCGAAGUAUGGAGAAGAAGUAUCAUCAUAACCAAUACUGCUGUGCAGAGAAGAGAGUUGGGAUUACUCAAGACUCACAUAAGUACAUACACUCUCCUUAUAGCUGUAUCCCCUCUACUCCAUUGCCAGCAGUGCUCCUGCUAAGGACUGUUAGCCAGCUUUGCUUUUCAGUUCUGCAGUGUCUUCCCAAAGUCAGCCAGAAGAGCACAGCUGCAUCCUGGAGAGUGCCUGGAGCAAGCACUGCACGCCAUACAAUUCAGCAGCUGCCAUUCUCUCACCUGCAGAAACACUGAACUGUUGCAUUGCACAGGACAAGAGGAGUAUGCACCAGAGGUCUGGGAAUUCUUGAGCUCUAUUUCUCUGCUGUGAAGAGCGAGCUGGAGACUUCUGGCCAAGGGUUCAGAUACAACUGGUAGCAGCCCCAAGCACUGAGCCGCCUGCCUGCCACAACCCUGUUUGCAAAGAAGGGGAAUUUUUAAAUAUGAAGAGAAGGAAGAAAAAAAUAUCAAAGUUGAGAAGUCCUAGGAUAUAACUGUGAUGACUCCACAGUUAACAGGGACUGCACUGGUAACAGGGACUCCAGACACCUCCACAUAGGAUGCUGUUCCUCUGGAUGUUCUGGAGGGAAUUUCAAAAGAGCUGUUCAGCAGUGGGUCCAAGGAUGCCCUCACAAGAGAAGAUUUUGAGUAGUGGGAGCAUCAGUCCAGUAAGUAUUGCUCACUAUUUCUAUUGCUUUGUGGGAAGCUUGUGUAUAAAUAAGCCCUUUGGUGAGUCU